CAGUUAGUAAACACUGCAUAAUUUAUUCAGUUUCAGUGACAGUUUGUAAAUGUGAGUAGAAAAUACCGGAUACUUUAAAUUCUUUCUAGAUAUAUGAAAAUAGAAAAACUUGUUUUUCUCGCAUUAAGUAAAUCAACUAGAUAAAAGAAGAAAAAAAAUGCAUAAUUACAAAAAUAAAUUAAACAAAGUUUCUUUUAGGCAUAUUAGGUGAGAAUGUAAUAUUUGUGCAUGAACUAGUCAGUAGGUCAAUACACUUAAUGCAAUAACCUAAAUAGAUUUCUGUUGUAAACUUACUGGUGUAUUAUGCAAAAAAAACAAAAAACCUGUCAUUGUGAAAUUAGCAUUUCUAACAAAGAACAUAGAACAAGCGUAUUGAUUUAUUGCAAGGUAAAGUGUAAAACAAAAUAAGAUAAGAUUGAAUGAAACAUACAGGCUUAAAUUCACCUUGUGAGUUAUGAAAAAGAUAUUACAAUGGAUCCCCUAACUGCUGUGCAGUAAAAUGUUUACGGUUUAAUUACGAGAGAACUGACAGUAUUUGAAAUGUAAAGAAAUGUUUGUCAAUGAACUACAGUUAAGAUGUGUCACUUAUAUAUGUCAUUUUAAAGGGACAAUAAAAACCUUAUGUCAAGUGAACGAUAUAUUACUUUUAAAUGUUUACGCUUACCUUAUGAAUAAAAUAAGGUUAACUUUAUAUAUGUGAUAUAG